rnacentral:rRNA from 1 species
GAUGAACGCUGGCGGCGUGCCUAAUACAUGCAAGUCGAGCGAACAGACGAGGCGCUUGCUCCUCUGACGUUAGCGGCGGACGGGUGAGUAACACGUGGAUAACCUACCUAUAAGACUGGGAUCACUUCGGGAAACCGGAGCUAAUACCGGAUAAUAUAUUGAACCGCAUGGUUCAAUAGUGAAAGACGGUUUUGCUGUCACUUAUAGAUGGAUCCGCGCCGCAUUAGCUAGUUGGUAAGGUAACGGCUUACCAAGGCGACGAUGCGUAGCCGAUCUGAGAGGAUGAUCAGUCAGGCUGGAACUGAGACACGGUCCAGACUCCUACGGGAGGCAGCAGUGGGGAAUAUUGGACAAUGGGCGAAAGCCUGAUACAGCCAUGCCGCGUGUGUGAAGAAGGUCUUCGGAUUGUAAAGCACUUUAAGUUGGGAGGAAGAGCAGUAAGUUUAAACCUGGCUGUUUUGACGGUACCAAAAGAAUAAGCACCGGCUAACUUCGUG